AGACCCGAAACCCGGUGAUCUAGCCAUGGGCAGGUUGAAGGUUGGGUAACACUAACUGGAGGACCGAACCGACUAAUGUUGAAAAAUUAGCGGAUGACCUGUGGCUGGGGGUGAAAGGCCAAUCAAACCGGGAGAUAGCUGGUUCUCCCCGAAAGCUAUUUAGGUAGCGCCUCGUGAAUUCAUCUCCGGGGGUAGAGCACUGUUUCGGCUAGGGGGCCAUCCCGGCUUACCAACCCGAUGCAAACUGCGAAUACCGGAGAAUGUUAUCACGGGAGACACACGGCGGGUGCUAACGUCCGUCGUGAAGAGGGAAACAACCCAGACCGCCAGCUAAGGUCCCAAAGUCAUGGUUAAGUGGGAAACGAUGUGGGAAGGCCCAGACAGCCAGGAUGUUGGCUUAGAAGCAGCCAUCAUUUAAAGAAAGCGUAAUAGCUCACUGGUCGAGUCGGCCUGCGCGGAAGAUGUAACGGGGCUAAACCAUGCACCGAAGCUGCGGCAGCGACGCUUAUGCGUUGUUGGGUAGGGGAGCGUUCUGUAAGCCUGUGAAGGUGGCCUGUGAGGGUUGCUGGAGGUAUCAGAAGUGCGAAUGCUGACAUAAGUAACGAUAAAGCGGGUGAAAAGCCCGCUCGCCGGAAGACCAAGGGUUCCUGUCCAACGUUAAUCGGGGCAGGGUGAGUCGACCCCUAAGGCGAGGCCGAAAGGCGUAGUCGAUGGGAAACGGGUUAAUAUUCCCGUACUUGGUGUUACUGCGAAGGGGGGACGGAGAAGGCUAUGUUGGCCGGGCGACGGUUGUCCCGGUUUAAGCGUGUAGGUGUGUGUUCCAGGUAAAUCCGGUUCACUUUAACACUGAGGCGUGAUGACGAGGCACUAUGGU
rnacentral:rRNA from 1 species